CCCAUUCUAUGAUUUUCUCACUGAACCUGCAGUCAGGCUGGCAUCCAGCAAGCCUGAUUCAUCCUUCUGUCUCCACCUUCUACUCUCCACCACAGAGCUGUUCAUACAGCAAGAAAGCAUUUGGACACUCGACUUUUUAUAUGAGGGCAGAUGUCUGAACUAAGUUCCUCUUACGUGCAUAGCAAGGACUCCUAACCAAUGAGUCACCUCUCCAGCCAGGGAUCACUGUGGAAGAGUAGAAAUGGAGGAAGAAUUCAACAUCACCUGCACAAGGAAACACUCACUAACCGUG
rnacentral:lncRNA from 1 species